GGGUUGUGAGGUUAAGCGACUAAGCGUACACGGUGGAUGCCCUGGCAGUCAGAGGCGAUGAAGGACGUGCUAAUCUGCGAUAAGCGUCGGUAAGGUGAUAUGAACCGUUAUAACCGGCGAUUUCCGAAUGGGGAAACCCAGUGUGAUCCGUCACACUAUCAUUACGUGAAUACAUAGCGUAAUGAAGCGAACCGGGGGAACUGAAACAUCUAAGUACCCCGAGGAAAAGAAAUCAACCGAGAUUCCCCCAGUAGCGGCGAGCGAACGGGGAGCAGCCCAGAGUCUGAAUCAGCUUGUGUGUUAGUGGAACGGUCUGGAAAGUCCGACGGUACAGGGUGAUAGUCCCGUACACCAAAAUGCACAGGUUGUGAACUCGAAGAGUAGGGCGGGACACGUGGUAUCCUGUCUGAAUAUGGGGGGACCAUCCUCCAAGGCUAAAUACUCCUGACUGACCGAUAGUGAACCAGUACCGUGAGGGAAAGGCGAAAAGAACCCCGGCGAGGGGAGUGAAAAAGAACCUGAAACCGUGUACGUACAAGCAGUGGGAGCCUCUUUAUGGGGUGACUGCGUACCUUUUGUAUAAUGGGUCAGCGACUUAUAUUCUGUAGCAAGGUUAACCGUAUAGGGGAGCCGAAGGGAAACCGAGUCUUAACUGGGCGUUAAGUUGCAGGGUAUAGACCCGAAACCCGGUGAUCUAGCCAUGGGCAGGUUGAAGGUUGGGUAACACUAACUGGAGGACCGAACCGACUAAUGUUGAAAAAUUAGCGGAUGACUUGUGGCUGGGGGUGAAAGGCCAAUCAAACCGGGAGAUAGCUGGUUCUCCCGAAAGCUAUUUAGGUAGCGCCUCGUGAAUUCAUCUUCGGGGGUAGAGCACUGUUUCGGCUAGGGGGUCAUCCCGACUUACCAACCCGAUGCAAACUGCGAAUACCGAAGAAUGUUAUCACGGGAGACACACGGCGGGUGCUAACGUCCGUCGUGAAGAGGGAAACAACCCAGACCGCCAGCUAAGGUCCCAAAGUCAUGGUUAAGUGGGAAACGAUGUGGGAAGGCACAGACAGCCAGGAUGUUGGCUUAGAAGCAGCCAUCAUUUAAAGAAAGCGUAAUAGCUCACUGGUCGAGUCGGCCUGCGCGGAAGAUGUAACGGGGCUAAACCAUGCACCGAAGCUGCGGCAGCGACACUAUGUGUUGUUGGGUAGGGGAGCGUUCUGUAAGCCGUUGAAGGUGUAUCGUGAGGUAUGCUGGAGGUAUCAGAAGUGCGAAUGCUGACAUAAGUAACGAUAAUGCGGGUGAAAAACCCGCACGCCGGAAGACCAAGGGUUCCUGUCCAACGUUAAUCGGGGCAGGGUGAGUCGACCCCUAAGGCGAGGCCGAAAGGCGUAGUCGAUGGGAAACAGGUUAAUAUUCCUGUACUUGGUGUUACUGCGAAGGGGGGACGGAGAAGGCUAUGUUAGCCGGGCGACGGUUGUCCCGGUUUAAGCAUGUAGGCGGAGGUUCCAGGUAAAUCCGGUACCUUUUUAACGCUGAGGUGUGAUGACGAGGCACUACGGUGCUGAAGUAACAAAUGCCCUGCUUCCAGGAAAAGCCUCUAAGCAUCAGGUAACACGAAAUCGUACCCCAAACCGACACAGGUGGUCAGGUAGAGAAUACCAAGGCGCUUGAGAGAACUCGGGUGAAGGAACUAGGCAAAAUGGUGCCGUAACUUCGGGAGAAGGCACGCUGAUAUGUAGGUGAAGCGGUUUACCCGUGGAGCUGAAAUCAGUCGAAGAUACCAGCUGGCUGCAACUGUUUAUUAAAAACACAGCACUGUGCAAACACGAAAGUGGACGUAUACGGUGUGACGCCUGCCCGGUGCCGGAAGGUUAAUUGAUGGGGUUAUCCGUAAGGAGAAGCUCUUGAUCGAAGCCCCGGUAAACGGCGGCCGUAACUAUAACGGUCCUAAGGUAGCGAAAUUCCUUGUCGGGUAAGUUCCGACCUGCACGAAUGGCGUAAUGAUGGCCAGGCUGUCUCCACCCGAGACUCAGUGAAAUUGAACUCGCUGUGAAGAUGCAGUGUACCCGCGGCAAGACGGAAAGACCCCGUGAACCUUUACUAUAGCUUGACACUGAACACUGGUCCUUGAUGUGUAGGAUAGGUGGGAGGCUUUGAAGUGUGGACGCCAGUCUGCAUGGAGCCAUCCUUGAAAUACCACCCUUUAAUGGCUGGUGUUCUAACGUGGACCCGUUACCCGGGUUGCGGACAGUGUCUGGUGGGUAGUUUGACUGGGGCGGUCUCCUCCUAAAGAGUAACGGAGGAGCACGAAGGUUAGCUAAUCCUGGUCGGACAUCAGGAGGUUAGUGCAAAGGCAUAAGCUAGCUUGACUGCGAGAGUGACGGCUCGAGCAGGUGCGAAAGCAGGUCUUAGUGAUCCGGUGGUUCUGAAUGGAAGGGCCAUCGCUCAACGGAUAAAAGGUACUCCGGGGAUAACAGGCUGAUACCGCCCAAGAGUUCAUAUCGACGGCGGUGUUUGGCACCUCGAUGUCGGCUCAUCACAUCCUGGGGCUGAAGUAGGUCCCAAGGGUAUGGCUGUUCGCCAUUUAAAGUGGUACGCGAGCUGGGUUUAGAACGUCGUGAGACAGUUCGGUCCCUAUCUGCCGUGGGCGCUGGAGAAUUGAGGGGGGCUGCUCCUAGUACGAGAGGACCGGAGUGGACGCAUCACUGGUGUUCGGGUUGUCAUGCCAAUGGCAUUGCCCGGUAGCUAAAUGCGGAAGAGAUAAGUGCUGAAAGCAUCUAAGCACGAAACUUGCCCGAGAUGAGUUCUCCCUGAGACUAUAAGUCUCCUGAAGGAACGUUGAAGACGACGACGUUGAUAGGUCGGGUGUGUAAGUGUAGCGAUACAUUGAGCUAACCGAUACUAAUGAACCGUGAGGCUUAACCUUACAACGCCGAAGGUGUUU
rnacentral:rRNA from 1 species